GACGGAGGGCGCAAGCGUUGUUCGGAAUUACUGGGCGUAAAGCGCGCGCAGGCGGGAAGAUAAGUCUGGAGUGAAAUUCCGGGGCUCAACUCCGGAGCUGCUUUGGAUACUGUUUUUCUAGGGACCGGUAGAGGCCGGUGGAAUUCCCGGUGUAGCGGUGAAAUGCGCAGAUAUCAGGAAGAACACCCGUGGCGAAGGCGGCUCUCUGGGACGGUACUGACGCUGAGACGCGAAAGCGUGGGGAGCGAACAGG
rnacentral:rRNA from 1 species